AAAGGUCCAACAGAUACAAAGGACAACAUAGAAGAAAUGGGAAAUUGGACUAAAAGGACUUAUUCUCCUUUAUUUGCGUAAUUAAAGAAUAAUUAAACAUUUGGUGCUGUGAAGUAAGUGCUUAUUCUAUGCAAAUGCAUCCUUUGAUGAAAGUACUAUUUUUUUUUCUGAAAAAUGUUUGUAAUGAUAAUGAAGGCAGCACCAGUGGGUUGGAUGUUCUUUAAGAUGGUUCAGAUAGUUAGAUUUUUUAUAUUCUUAUGAUUGUUCAUAUGCUCUAAGUCAAUGCCAAGGGAAACACAGCUGUUUACCUUCUCUACACCCAUGCUCGGAUCUGUUCAAUCAUAACAAAGUCUGGCAAAGACAAUGAUGAGCUUAAGAAAGUGUAUUUUCUUUGCUGCAUAAUCUCAGAUUUACUUGGCGUAUAUAGAUUCUUUGUCUUCCUUGAAUUCACUUUUUCAACAUCUUGUUUUCAUUGUUGCAGACAGGAAAUCUAGUACUGGAUCAUGCAGAUGAAAGAGCACUAGGACUUUACUUGCUACAAUUUGCUGAGGUAGGUUAGGCAUUAAUAUUGAUUCAGUCAAUAGCCCUGUUUUGGUUUUUCUAAUGAAAAAGAUCAUAUACAAUUUACUAUUAGAUCAAUGAUGUGAAUGAUUUUGCAGGUAUAUUUUCAAACAUUCUAUUACUAAGGAUAUUGAUUCUUUAUGCACAAUCAAGCUAUGAUGGUCUGAUUCUUAACUUAAAACAAAUGGUCCAUUAUAAAAAUUUGUCAGGUUACUGGAUCGGAACAAGAGACAAGCCGUCUCUUCUUACUAUGUGAAGCAACAUCAUAGUUAUGUGGAACUGCUUCCACCUUCUCGGAAUCACUCCUGUUUACAAGCUUUUGAUACAUACAACCAAACGACCCC